AACAGCGGGAAGACUGUCUCAUUAAAGUGACAACCCGUAAAUGAGCGAUAAAGAGAUCACAUGCAAGGGCUUGAAGAGAGCUAGUGUGAAGGAGAAUCAUGAUCGACAAAAGAAACACAUCAUUCUUUAAGGACCCAUGGUGGUACAUUGCGGUGACGCAACUUGGCACAUGGAAUGCACACCCAAAUAUGUAAAUAUGAAAAUCAUCAGGUUCGUAUUCAAUAAUCAACUGUAACGUCAUAUAGGUUGGGUGGCAAUGGGCCUCAAGGCGGACCAACAUAACUAUGUACAAGGAUUGCAUAGCCCUAGGCAGAAACCGAAAACUUGGUGCGUUUACCAAAAUUCGAGCGAUCAUUUAAAUUGCGCUUUAUGAUUACUCGGUGAGGCUCUUUGGGGUGAACUAGGAAUUCAAUGUUCAAUUAUAAACCCAAAAUACAUGCAAUAUUUUAUCGAAAAUCGUUGAUAUAAACUCUCCAGCAUUAUCCAAUCUCCCAGACCUUAAGGGAUAAGUAGGGUGGUGAACCCUUAAUCGGCCAUGAGGUUUAGCAGUAAUGUUUGUGGACAAACAUGUGACCAGUUUGUCGAUUCAUCAACCAAAACCAGAAGUAUUUAUGUAGUCCACAUUUUGGUUGGAUUAGUCCACAUACAUUCCUUUGAAUCUACUAUGAUAAGACAGUCAUGUCGUAAUCGUGCAAGGAAUGAUAUAGAAAAUCAAUUUGCUUAAUGAGUAGGCUUCGCAAAGUGUGCUUGUAGGCACAAGAUCCUUACUUUGGGUAAGGAGAUAUGUUGUAGCAUCAUUGUUCGACCUAAGUGUCCCAAAAGGUCAUGCCAAAGCAAGUAAACUGCUCAAUCACCAGGCUCCAAGCCGGCCACAUAUGGUGUAUUCUCAGUUGGGAUACAACCCAUUAGCCCCAAAUCAAAGCUUCGAGCUCAUUUUUUGGAGGUGGUGCAAAGAUAUUCACUCUAUUUUCUUUAGUGGUUUCAUUUAUAAUCAUUGUCAUCUCGAAUAUCCUUAAAAACUCAACGUUAGGGAGAAUUUAAGGUCUUUUAAAUGGUGAUUCAGUACCAUUCAUAAAACGAGGAGCCUGCCAAUGCUCUUAAUUAGGUUGGAUAGACGUGAAGUCGUUGUUAAAGAUGUGAUUUAGGUGUAAAGUUAGUGUGCGUAGUACGCAUUCAUCCAGACAACUAACUUUCCCACAUUCCUACCUAAUCACGUGUUUAAUUGAAUUGGGGCACAUGUAUUAAGAAACAUGAUUUAAUUAACUCAUAUUCGAGGACAAUAUCAAUAAGAUUAUCCAUAAGUAAAACAUACACCAAACUCGAAUCCAAGAACAUAGAAAAAUGUUCACAAAGUAAAUGGUGUACUAAGGGGAUUUGGCCAACAAUGCCAUCCAUGUCAAAAUUCUGCUUUUCCAACGAUGUUUGGUGGAGCAAAAUUAGUCUCACAUAUUGACUACUAGAAUGGUACUCCUCAACGGCAUUGGUAGGGGAACGAACAGGUGCAUAACCAAUAAUAUAUUCCAUCGAUACGGAAGUAGAUUCUGCAAGGGUUAAGGUUUAGGAAUAUUAUCCCUUAUUUUUGAAGUUUUAGGUCUUAGGUACCAAGGAUCAUGCUUCAGGUACGAUGCCACACCUUGGCAUGCCUUGAUUCUAACAUAUGUUGUAAAAACAAACUCGAAAUUGGAUUGUGAGAGAGUAUGCCAUUCGGUGUAUCCCUACCGAAGCAGUGCAUCACCAUUAGGUUAGGCUUUGACCGAAUUGGGUCAAGCCAUUUGGUAGACUCCAGCCGAACUGGGUCUAUACCUUUCUUCGUUUGUGGUAGUAAUCAGAUCCAAGAAUUUGGUAAACUUAUGCUAUCUACACUGCUACUUUAGGGGCGAGUUAGAAACAAGGAAGGAAGAGAAAAGUAUUCUCCAGUCAAAAU
rnacentral:lncRNA from 1 species